rnacentral:lncRNA from 1 species
GGCCCAUCACCCGUUCUCCCCCCUGCAGGGCUCCCGGCACCUCUGCAUCUGGUAAGCACUGCGGAGGCGGACAGGUGGGGCUGUGUCGCGACAAUUCCUCCAGCCUGAGGGAUACAGCAAUUGAGAGCCUCCUGGCACUGGACUCUAGUUUAGUCAGUGUUAACUUCAACUGCACAGCCAGGUCUUGCUCCACCGCAAGGGCCAGAAGUACAGACCUACCAGAAAUGUCACACCAGAAAUACCCCUGCCGACUCCAUCUGAGAAGAGACUCAGGGAAGAACUCUGGGAUGCGGAUGGACCCCCUAGACCACCGCAGGGGAGAGACCCCAAGUUGUCCAGCUGGGCAAGUGAGGAGAGGGAGGCCUGUGGAACCCAGUGUGGCCACGUGUCCCAGCCACUUCCUCCAUGAUUCAUCAGACAAACUGACAGCUUGAGCUCCACCUGCCUAACUUCUAUGUUGCUCUGUUGGUUCCAAAUGAGCAUGGGAGGGCGGGCAGAGUAUGAUUAAUUUCACCUCUGGCAUGAAAAAGUAAAUAAAUAAAC